UGGCAUCCGAAGUGGCAGGAAUAUGAG
rnacentral:piRNA from 1 species